AUGAGGCCAGUGGCUGAAUUUCUUUCUUGUCGUAAGUACUGGCUUCAAGGUGACAAAAGAUGUGAUUUAUUCAUUCAUUUCCUCUCCCUCCACCAAUCAUAUUAUACGGCUGGCUUGCUGACGUCCCCUUGUGGUCCACUGAGGCCCCUGGGUCCUUUCCUGCAGAGCUGGAGUCAUCUAUCAGGCCCUUCCACCAAGUGUGCAGGACGGUGGCCGGGGAGAGGGAAGCUCAGCCCCUCUGACGUCACGGAGGAGCGGGGGAGGGGCUGCUUCCAGGCUGUCACCAGGAAUCCUCCGAGUGCUCAAAGGGAUUGUGAUCUCCACACUCCCCGGUCUGCACUGUGCCUGCCCCCAACUCUUCCAGAUCCACGCAUUCCCCCUCCUCCCCGACCUCUCCAGACAGCUGGAGAGAGCACAGGCUGGUCACAUCCGCUCAGUCCCUGGCUAUUAAGUGCCCACCAGACACCAGGGGCGAGCCAGGCCUGGGCCUGCCCACAUGGCGCUGAUGCUGUCGAAGGCAGAGGAGCCACAGGCCCAGGUACCCGUCCAACCCAACACCUCGGAAGGUCAAAGGUGAGGAGGCAAAGGCGCAGACGGGCAGAGAGCACCGCUCAGGUCCCAGUGAGAUCGUGGCAGAGCUGGCACCAGGACCCGCACACCGGACAGCCACCCUGACCAGGCCCUGCAGCCCACAGCUACCCCCACUGCCCAUGUCUGCUUACAGGAAACGCUGGAGCUGGCGCCCUUGGCUGGUGGCCCCAGGAGGCCCUCACCUCGCCCUCCAUUGUUACUGUCCAACUUGGGGCCUCUGGGUGAUUCUCCCCUGCACCCCAGAGGGCCCUGCUCCUGGACUUGCUCAUCCUCCUGCAAACCCUUUGCACAAAGCGCUCCAGCCCCAGGCCACGCCCCCCUGGGGAGUGGGGGGACUGACUGUUGGCAUCUCAGAUCCUCCAGGAGGCACCUAAGCCAGGCCGCGGCUUACCCAGGGAGCGGGAGGGGGGACGUGCACACAUCACAGAGGCCUGGCAGCUCACAGAGGCACUCCCUGGGGCCCAGCGGGCCUGCAAGCGUGGACUGCGCAGGCACGCGAGCCUCACACUCAGCCCCGCUAGGUUCUGUCCCAGUGAGCCCCAGUGAGCCCCAGUGAGCCCUGAGACACAGAGACGGCACUGAAGGAGGUCGUGGUCGCCAGCCCGCCCCCGGCAUCAGCACUCUGCGAACUGUCUCAGGUCCUGACGUCACCGUGGGAACAGUCCAACAGGAGUGAGUGCCAGACACAGAAGCAGACGCCCACCUCUGCCAGCCACGGAUUCGCACAUGCGCAGUCCCUGGUUUAGGACCCAGGUGACACUGCAGUGCGGCGAGGAAAAGCUGGUUUCCCAAUAAAUCAGGCUGGUCGAUUAAAUAUCCA
rnacentral:lncRNA from 1 species